rnacentral:rRNA from 1 species
AGAAUCAACGCUGGCGGCGUGCCUAACACAUGCAAGUCGCACGAGAAAGGGUAGCAAUACCUGAGUAAAGUGGCGCACGGGUGAGUAACACGUGAAUGAUCUACCUCCGAGUGGGGAAUAACUGAGAGAAAUCUUAGCUAAUACCGCAUAACACUUACAAGUCAAAGCAGCAAUGCGCUUGGAGAGGAGUUCGCGGCCGAUUAGUUAGUUGGCGGGGUAAUGGCCCACCAAGACGAUGAUCGGUA